rnacentral:rRNA from 1 species
AUUGAACGCUGGCGGCAGGCUUAACACAUGCAAGUCGAGCGAGCGGCGGACGGGUGAGUAAUGUCUGGGAAACUGCCUGAUGGAGGGGGAUAACUACUGGAAACGGUAGCUAAUACCGCAUACCAUCAGAGGUGCCCAGAUGGGAUUAGCUAGUUGUGGGGGUAAUGGCUCACCUGGGCGACGAUCCCUAGCUGGUCUGAGAGGAUGACCAGCCCCACUGGAACGGUGACACGGUCCAGACUCCUACGGGAGGCGGCAGUGGGGAGUAUUGCACAAUGGGCGCAUGCCUGAUGCAUCCUUGCCGCGUGUUUGGAGAAGGCCUUCGGGUUUUAAAGCACUUUCAGCGGGGAGGCGUUACUCGCAGAAGAAGCACCGGCUAACUCCGUGCCAGCAGCCGCGGUAAUAC